rnacentral:rRNA from 1 species
GUGAACGCUGGCGGCAGGCCUAAUACAUGCAAGUCGAACGGCAGCACAGUGGGGCUUGCUCCAUGGGUGGCGAGUGGCGGACGGGUGAGGAAUACAUGGGAAUCUGCCCAGUCGUGGGGGAUAACGUAUGGAAACGUACGCUAAUACCGCAUGCGCCCUUCGGGGGAAAGUCGGGGACCGCAAGGCCUGACGCGAUUGGAUGAGCCCAUGUUCGAUUAGCUAGUUGGCGGGGUAACGGCCCACCAAGGCGACGAUCGAUAGCUGGUCUGAGAGGAUGAUCAGCCACACUGGAACUGAGACACGGUCCAGACUCCUACGGGAGGCAGCAGUAGGGAAUAUUGGACAAUGGGCGCAAGCCUGAUCCAGCCAUGCCGCGUGAGUGAAGAAGGCCCUCGGGUUGUAAAGCUCUUUUGUUGGGGAAGAAAAGCAGUUGGUUAAUACCCGAUUGUUCUGACGGUACCCAAAGAAUAAGCACCGGCUAACUUCGUGCCAGCAGCCGCGGUAAUACGAAGGGUGCAAGCGUUACUCGGAAUUACUGGGCGUAAAGCGUGCGUAGGUGGUUGUUUAAGUCUGAUGUGAAAGCCCUGGGCUCAACCUGGGAAUGGCAUUGGAUACUGGAUAGCUAGAGUGCGGUAGAGGGUAGUGGAAUUCCCGGUGUAGCAGUGAAAUGCGUAGAGAUCGGGAGGAACAUCCGUGGCGAAGGCGACUACCUGGGCCAGCACUGACACUGAGGCACGAAAGCGUGGGGAGCAGACAGGAUUAGAUACCCUGGUAGUCCACGCCCUAAACGAUGCGAACUGGAUGUUGGGCUCAACUUGGAGCUCAGUAUCGAAGCUAACGCGUUAAGUUCGCCGCCUGGGGAGUACGGUCGCAAGACUG